rnacentral:lncRNA from 1 species
GUAGGUGUUCUUUAGUAUAGACUUCUUGUAGUGUAGUGGUUCUGAAGUGUAGACUUCUGUAGUGUAGUGUUCUGAAGUGUAGACUUCUGUAGUGUAGUGUUCUGAAGUGUAGACUUCUGUAGUGUAGUGUUCUGAAGUGUAGACUUCUGUAGUGUAGUGUUUGAAGUGUAGUGUUCUGUAGUGUAGACUUCUGUAGUGUAGACUUCUGUGGUGUAGUGUUCUGUAGUGUAGAAUCAAAGAUGAGAGUCAUGAGUUAAUUUCUCACACAUGCACUGCAUACCUUGGAUGCAUUAUCAACUGCUUUGGAUACAAUCCAAAUAUAAAUGUGUAGUGAAACUGGAGCACAUGUGCUCAUGGUGACGGAAGCGAGUGUGAACACUGAGUUUCCUUAUUCCUCAAAAAUGAAACUUAAGUGUGGUGCUAUGCUGCAGCAAACAGAUUCUUCCCUUUUCAGUAAACAUCAGCAUGACAACUGUGGAAAUGUGCAAAACUGUGGUUUAUAUGUGAAAGCAUGACCUGUCGAGGGGUUAGCAAACUGGAGCAUUUAUAAGUAAGACCCCUGCUCCCACGUCUCAGAGCAGAUGAACUGCACCUGACAAAGAGACUGGAACAUGAGCAUUUUCAAAGUUAUCCUUUUAGUCAGCAUCAGCACACAGUGUCACGCAGACACGGUGAAUAUGAGCGUCCGGCUGGAGCAGAAUGUCACUCUGCCCUGCUUCCUGAACUCCAGCUCUGAGAUGGCAUGGUAUCGACUGAGCUCUGAGAAGAUUACUUUACUCAUAUCUGCAGCAAGAGGAAACCUUAAAAAGAAGAUUUAGUUACUUACUAUAAUGAGAAUGGAAGUCACUUUGGGCUGGAAGCAGACAGGAGGCUUGACUCGGUCAGCCUGGUGAUCGCUGGGGUCAGAGAGUCGGAUCUGGGGCUGUACUACUGCGCUCUUGGUGUCAGUGCAAAGACGAUGCGCUUUGGGACUGCUGUCCGACUCACAUUUGCAGAUGCUGAACAGCAGCGUUCGUCAGAUAGUGUGGGCUGCAGGACGCUCUUGGUCUGUGCUUGUGUCAUGUGUGGGUUUUGCAGUAUUCUCUGCGUGUGUGUGCUCUGUUACAGGCAAGGUUCUUCCAGGGUCUCCUGCACCAGCUGCGUGUCAGAAAACUCAAAUAUCAAGGCAGCACAAGUACAGUACGCCAGUCUCCGGUUCCUCAGACGGUCUAGAGCCGCGCCUCCCGCUCCAGUCAACGUGACAUACGCAGCUAUAACCAACCACACGUCCUGAUUUCACUGCAUUUAAUCAGCUUCAUACUAACAGAGACAGUUUAAGAAGUCUACUAUACCAACAUCUAUACUCUGAACUUAUUCCAAGCCUGUAGAAAAAACAUUAUUUAUACAAUACCAUUCAAAAGUUUGGGGUUGGAAUGAUUUUUAAAGGUUUUGAAAGAAGUCUGUUUUGUUCACCAAGGCUACAUUUAGUUGGUUUAAAGGGGUCAUCGAAUGCAAAAUUCACUUUACAUGUUGUUUAAACAUAAAUGUGUGUUGGAAGUGUGUGUACACAUCCAACCUAUAAUGAUAAACAUCCACCCAGUGGUUUUUUUAAAAAAUCCCCUUUCUCAAAUCAGGCUGCUCUGAGAUUCCUGUCAGAAUGAUGUAGUUCUGCACAGGCCCCUCCCACAAUAGUUGAUUGACAAGGCUGUCUUACCUUAGACCCGCCCUGAGUGAGCUGUGAUCUGUCCACCAUUGUGUCAAGUCCAGUGCAGGGGAAGACACAGAAUAAAAGAAUGACUCGUGUUGUGUUGUUGAUGUAAUGAUGAACACAGCAGUCAUCAUUUACUGCUAACAUCUGAGCGCUGAACACGCAGUGGAUUACAUUUGUUUCUGAAGAGAAUGUGUCCUGAUCUUCAUGAAUGUGUCUGUUCACGCGAUCAUUUGUGAUCCAGCUUCACCUCCAGAAGAAGUGAGUGGAAGCUUCUUUAAUCAAUCUUUGGCCUUUCCUAAUCAUGUGUUCGUUAGCAAGAACAGCUCGUCAGUCCUCUGAAGAGAGGGGUGGGGUCAGCAGAGCUCAUUAGCAUUUAAAGGGACAUGCACCCAAACGUCUUGCUGUGAACAGAGCUGGUUUUGACAGGAUAAAAAGGUGUUGUUUUACACUACCACUGAGAAACUUUAACCAAAGUAUGAUAUAGACCUUUGAUUAAGACCCUAAAGAAUCUUAUCAACUUGUGGAAAAUGGGCUUCUGAUGACCCCUUUAAAUACAGGAAAUAAUGUGAAAUAUUUUUGCAAUUUAAAAUAACUGUUUUCUUUUCAAAUAUAUUUUAAAACAUUUUUUUUAGGAUCAUAAUUUAUUGUUUUCAGGAUUCUUUAUAUAAAAAUUUCAAGGAAACAGCAUUUAUUAAAAUAGACUUUUUUGUAAGAUUUUAUAAAAGUAUUUACUGUCACCAGUUUAUAGUAUCAUUGUUAUAUAUAUUAAAUGGUAGUGUAUAUUACAUGUGCUAUAUUACUAUAUUAUGCCUGCUAUAGUCUAUGGUUUCUUUUUCAUUUGUUUGUUUAUAUAUAAGCUAGCUUUUGUAGGAUGACAAUAAAGCUAAGACAGUGAUUUCAGUUCUAUGUAAGGUGUUUUAUGUGUAUUUGGUUUAUGUUUACAUAUCAGUGAACAUGACUCAUAUUGACUGUAUGUAUCCAGUGUAAAUGAGUGUGUUGUUUUCAUGACGUGGUCAAUGUGGAGUAAAUGACAUGCUGUCUGCUGCUCAGCUGUCUGUCUGUCUGCUUCCAGUGCUGCCCACCCAGAGACGCGUACUGGAUUUCCCCCUGGAUGCACACACACACACACACACACACACACACACACACACACACACACACACACACACACACACACUAUUACGCACAGUACUAAUAUAGUACUUACCUACCGACGACACACACACACACACACACACACACACACACACACACACACACACACACACACACACACACAUUAGCACAGCUAAUAUAGAUUACUCCAGCCAUGUUUACAUCAUUACUAUAAUACCAUUAUUUCUUAGAGAAACAUCAAACUGUUGUCAUUUUCAAGUAAACAUUUUCAUUGAUCAAAUAAAGUGGAGAAAGAAACUCACUGCAUCCUCAUGAGUGUCCAACAUCCAGGGGCCUGAAACAACACAAGAUGCCUGUUUGAAAUGACCUUUGAUGAAACCAUGUCUGCAUAAUGCUGUUGAAAUAAUCUUGAAUGCAUGCAAUGCAGUGCAUGUGUACUAAUACCCUGAUCUCAUGAUAUUAACGCAAAGCAUAACAUUAUUCCACCCCACCUUCAUUUGACAUCCUUUGUAAUUGUAGACCUGAUGCAAUGUAUGUCGGCCCUGAAAAAAAAAAAAUCAAUCAAUCAAUUAAUCAUUUAUUUAUUUAUUUGUAUUUUAUUUUGUGUUUGUGUUUGUGUCUUUUGGCCAAAGAUGAAGUCCAAUGCACCUGUUUCUUUUCUAAUGUUUCUUCUCCUUCUCCUGCUUUUCCAGCAGAUCGUCACCGACAGAAGGCCAACACAAACCAUCGCCAGUAUGCACAAAGCCAGCAGGACGGCCACUGUCACUAAACACACACCUUCAUGUUUACAGACCGUACAGUGCUAUAGUGGCUAGUUUUUCUUUUUAACUUGAGCUACAUUGAGAUCAGAUCAUUUAUUUAUUUAUUUGUAUUUUAUUUUGUGUUUGUGUUUGUGUCUUUUGGCCAAAGAUGAAGUCCAAUGCACCUGUUUCUUUUCUAAUGUUUCUUCUCCUUCUCCUGCUUUUCCAGCAGAUCGUCACCGACAGAAGGCCAACACAAACCAUCGCCAGUAUGCACAAAGCCAGCAGGACGGCCACUGUCACUAAACACACACCUUCAUGUUUACAGACCGUACAGUGCUAUAGUGGCAGUUUUUCUUUUUUAACUUUGAGCUACAUUGAGAUCAGCUGUUUGUUUAGUACUAUAACAUGGUAGGGAAAAUCUAAGAACAAAUAAAAACAAAACCAUGGUGCACUCUGAUGUUUUUACAGGCCGGUGCUUGACAUUCUCGUGUAGGAUUCAGAAAUGUGUCCCGCUCCAGCUCUAGGCCAAACCAUUAUAUUGCCCUCACAGUGUUUUACGGUUGGAUGAGCUUCUUAUUAGUGAAUUCAGUGUUUGGUGUUUUGUAUGAAACAUUGUUUCUGUAGUCUUGUGGCAAAUCUUAGACGUGUAGGAAUGUUCUUCUAAGAGUGCAGUAGCUUCCUCACUGCUAUCCUGCCACACAGACGUUACUGUUCCUCAUUUAUCUGAUGAACAUCACUAACAUUAGCCAGUGCAGAGAGCUGAACUCUGACCUCUCACCUGUUUAAACCACAGACUCUUUAAAUAAACUGAUAAUCCUAGAGGUUCACAUACUUUCUACAGCAUAGAUGUUUAAGCGUCUCUCUUUUUCCUGUAGAUUUGUGUAAUAUUUGUCUAACCGGAUUCUCUUUGUCUAGUUAUAGAAUUAAAUUCAAAUUCGAUAUGGGUUGAAUUUAUACAGAAAAUACUUAAGAGCUCACAGACUUUCUCUUGCAACUAGGGGAAAAAUGAAUAGAACUUACCGUAUUUAUUUAUAUCUGGACUGCUGUUUUCAAUUUCAGUCGAUUCUGUAAAAAAGAAACACACAAUCUUAUUCCAUUACACUGUCUAGACUCUAGAGAAUAAAAUAUAUUGUAUACUCAGAAUUGUAAUACUUUCAGCGCUAUUUUAAACAAUGAUAAUACACAGACACUUUUUUAGGUUUGAAGAUAUGUUGCACUGAGACGUUCUGUGAUUGUGAUAUGUUAGUGGAACAUGUUCACAGUUGAUGUGAUGAUCUAAACCUAGAUACAACUUCAUCCUUCAAAACACAGCUGAUUCAGUGGCACUGGAAAAUGGUUCAGAAAAGUGGAGAGAUGUAAGGUCACAGCUCUCUGAAUAGAUUGGCAUGGCUAUGGAUAUGAUGAUGUUAAUGUGUUAACAGAAUAGAUCUGUUACACUUCUGCUGACGUACAGAGACUUGCUCCUGCCAAAACAUCCACAGACAUGCUUCUGCACAUAUAACAUACAUGAAAUCACUCCUAAAGCAGGAUACACAAGAAAUGAACGAUACAAGCCAUAUCUAAAACAAGCUGCUGCACCAGAAGUCAUCCCAUUUAACAUCAGCACUAAACUAAAUAUUUAUGUAACAUUUAUCAUGGUGCAGUGUAAACAUUCCCAUUACUUUAUAUUAGGGUGACCAAACGUGCCAUUUUCCCAGGACACAUCCUGGCCAGGAUUUCUAUAUUGCCUAAAAUAUCCAGGUUUUUGCUUUGUUUGCACUGCACAGUCCAAUUGUAGUAUGACAAAGUACCUUGUUCUUUUGAAUCACUCUCACGGUACUUUGAUGUAAUACACUGAUCGGUAUGCUCAGUGCUGCUUCAAGUCGAACACUAAUAUGUACAUGUAUUUGCAUCGCUUUGACCAUUCUCUGUAGAUCCCAUCUUCUCACACACCACGACUGGUCAAUUACGUACAAUGUCUGCAUGUUAUUGGUCAAACAAUCAUUACCUUCAUUAAGUAUGAAAACAGGAAACCAAACCCAAAACCUGGAUAUUUUUGGCAGUAUAGAAAUCCUGGCCAGGACAUGUCCUGGGAAAAUGGCCCGUUUGGUCAUCAUACUUUAUAUAUCAUAUUACAAAUCAUCAUCAUCAUCAUUUUUAUAAUAGGAUAUCGGUAUGCUCAGUGCUGCUUCAAGUCGAACACUAAUAUGUACAUGUAUUUGCAUCGCUUUGACCAUUCUCUGUAGAUCCCAUCUUCUCACACACCACGACUGGUCAAUUACGUACAAUGUCUGCAUGUUAUUGGUCAAACAAUCAUUACCUUCAUUAAGUAUGAAAACAGGAAACCAAACCCAAAACCUGGAUAUUUUUGGCAAUAUAGAAAUCCUGGCCAGGACAUGUCCUGGGAAAAUGGCCCGUUUGGUCAUCAUACUUUAUAUAUCAUAUUACAAAUCAUCAUCAUCAUCAUUUUUAUAAUAGGAUAGCAAAAAAAAAAAAAAAAAUCCUUGUUUCGUUCGACAUUAUGAAGCCUAGUAAAAAAUUAAUAGGCUACAGCAGAAUAAAAAGCCAUCAUAUUUCAACACAUUUCAC